UGGAAAUCUGCUUCCAAAAGUUCUAUGUUGAUACAUUUACUAAAAUGGAACAAUGCACUGUUAAUGGUCUACUUUUGGUUUUUUUUAGCACUCCUCUUGCUGAUGACACAAUUCCUGUGUGAAUCUGUUUACAAGAUUCUGAAAGCUGAACAGAGAAUUUGGGCACUGCACUGGGUAGGAAAAAGCUUUACAAGAAAUAGAUAACAUCAAGAACUUCGGGAGUGGGAGAGAUUGGACAGGGAGACUCAGCAGGUCAGGACAUUUGUGUUAUCAUUUGCUGAUCAUUCUUUUGCCAUCAAUCCUACAGUUCUCAAGUCUCUUGCCACUUGUUUAUUUCUUGGACAUGCUUACUUGGUAUGUUCUCAGUUUUGCAAAUCAUGACUAACGCCUUCAUAUAAAAAGUCUAGCAUUUGAGUAUCCUUUUUUAGGAUUUGAAGAUUAAAACAUAAUUUAAAUGAAUUUUCAAGAAUAGAAGAAAAUUUUUUACCUAAUAAGUUAU
rnacentral:lncRNA from 1 species